UAACCAUGGAGAGAAUAGAAUUGAAGUCAUUCACAAUGUAGUCUUUAAAGUUCUUCCCGUCUUUUACUUUCCGCAAUAAUCUUUUAUUUUCCGCAUUAUAUUUCUAAUAGUUCUAAUUUGAUUUUGAGCAGAGGCGAUUAGGUUUCGUUUCGUUUGAGAGGCAAAUCAGUCUAUCUUCAACGAAUGGGUAAAUUCAAAGAUGACAAGAGCUCGUCUUCUUCUCCUCGAGGUGCUUUUUUCCGUUUAAUAGUUCAUUUUGUUGUGAGCGUGGAGUAGGAAUUGUGGAGUAGAGGAUCCGCUCUGAGAGAUUUUGAGACUUCGGAUUAUUGUGCAGAUGAAUCGAUGAGCAAAAGUCGUAGAUCUCAUAGAUCUUUCGAGCACCAUUCCUGUAAAGAUCUAAGCUUAUUCAAAGUUCGAUUUCGAUUGGUUAAUUGUUGAGAAUUUGGAUGAUAUUCGCCAAAAGGCGAAGGAUGCUUUCUUUGGCCACAAAGGAAGGAUGUUCGAGUACGAGGAUGUCUGGGAAGCAACCCCAAGCUUUUCAGCGGUUCCGAGGCUUCUAGUGUCCCGAAGAGAGCCUGGGUCUCCACCUCCGGACAGGACUCUGUGAGUGGUGCCUCCAUCGAUCUUGAUACUGCAAUGGAGGAGACGUCGGAGAGGCGACCAAUGGACACUAAAGCGGCCAAGAGGAAGGGGAAGGCUGUGGUGGCUCCAAGCAUUGCACUCGCUCAAGACCCUCAACUCGAUGAGUACUCUGCUAGAAUGGAAAAGCUAAAAAACGCAAUACUGAACAAAAAGAUGCUAGCACGAGAUAUGUCGUCUAUGAGCUAAAAGUAUAGGAAAUGGCAUCAAGAGCUGCUUGAUUUAGUUAGAAGCCAAGUAAUUCAGAAGUAAUUUAUGAUUUUAAACUUCCAGUAAGUUCCCAUGCCAACCUCUGUAGCUAAUGUUCUUGUCUCAUGAAGUUCACAAGAUAUUCUCCUAAUCAUUGAGUAAUGUUCAAAAUGUUACUACUUUCUGCAA